AUGUCAGAGGCAACGAUUUCCCUGGGAGCUUACGUACUGAAGUAUAGCACCAUUUACCUUUGGCCUUUUGAUUCUAAAGCUCUUACGUCACUAAAUCAGAUGGAUUUUGUCACGUGGAGGGGGCACACUGCAAAGUCUUUGGAAUGCAUUCCAGAGAACACACUUCUGGGAGAGCUGGCUGGUGUCCAGGGAUGCAACUCUGUACCUCUGCAUCCACCAGCAAAGACCAGAAGAAGUAUAGGAAACGCAUGCAUUUUUCUUCACCAGAUGACAGCUAUCUCAGAGGAAAGGUGCUCUCCUGUUCUAUCCACUGGAAGCAACCUGAGGGGGACCAGCAGACCCGGAACAAGUUCUCUCCCCAGCAUUUCUGCAUUAAGAGGAAAAGAGAAGGGGCACCUGGAUGGCUCAGCGGUUGAGCAUCUGCCUUCAGCUCAGUUCGUGAUCCCGGGGUCCUGGGAUCAAGUCCUGCAUCGGGCUCCCCUCUGUCUGUGUCUCUGCCUCUCUCUUUGUGUCUCUCACGAGUAAAUAAAUAAAAUCUUUAAAAGUAAAAAAGAGAGAGGAAAAGAGAAAGGAAAGAGACUUUCUCCCGUUUUGAUAGCUGAUGAAAAUAAAUUCGUUGUCAGUUAUCUGCCA
rnacentral:lncRNA from 12 species